rnacentral:rRNA from 1 species
GACGAACGCUGGCGGCGUGCCUAAUACAUGCAAGUAGAACGCUAAAGGAGGAGCUUGCUUCUCCGGAUGAGUUGCGAACGGGUGAGUAACGCGUAGGUAACCUGCCUGGUAGCGGGGGAUAACUAUUGGAAACGAUAGCUAAUACCGCAUAAGAGUAGAUGUCGCAUGACAUUUGCUUAAAAGGUGCAACUGCACCACUACCAGAUGGACCUGCGUUGUAUUAGCUAGUUGGUGAGGUAACGGCUCACCAAGGCAACGAUACAUAGCCGACCUGAGAGGGUGAUCGGCCACACUGGAACUGAGACACGGCCCAGACUCCUACGGGAGGCAGCAGUAGGGAAUCUUCGGCAAUGGACGGAAGUCUGACCGAGCAACGCCGCGUGAGUGAAGAAGGUUUUCGGAUCGUAAAGCUCUGUUGUAAGAGAAGAACGAGUGUGAGAGUGGAAAGUUCACACUGUGACGGUAUCUUACAAGAAAGGGACGGCUAACUACGU